UUUUUUUUAAGUUUGGCAAACAGAAUGUUCAUACUGAUGUGUUGUGCCUUAAAGACAAGACAGCGUUUGUGUGUUACAAUGUAACUUUGGUUAAAAAUCUCUGUAGAUAAUGAAAACCAAAAAACAAAAACCAAAAAAAAAAAAAAAAAACCAAACAAAAAAAAACUUUGUGAUAAUUCUUCACAUGACCAAAUUUAAAAUUCAAGCUAUCAAUGUUUUAACACUACAUCAACAAGAAAACAAGUAUAUGUGGCAAUAAGAAACCAACAAGAAUAAUAAGAGAAAGCUUGUGUUUUAUUUGGGUUCUUAAUAAUUCCAGUGAUUGUAUGAGGCAACUAUUUGUACACCCAAUCAUUAGCAGGUUUGAGAGAGACUGUGGGACAUUUACUUAGAAAGAAACAUGUUUGUUGAAUUCUCAGUACCCUUUCUACAGUUCUACCCAAGAAAACUAAGAGCCAUAUUCAUGACAAUUUGCACAGUUUUGAAUUUGAGACUUUUUGAUGUGUGUAAGUUGCUUACAAGGAAGAUAUUUUCAUGCAUAUCUUUAGGAAUUAUCUCCUUACCUUUUUUAGUAUAUGCCAAGGACAUAGGUUAAAAUUUAAGUUGAGUGAACAUGGCUUAAAAUAUAGCUAAGUAUGUUAAUUCUCAAUGCCAUUGCAAAAAUGAAAUGUCAUCAGUAAGGGAAGGCAGGUGACCCAGAUGGCCCAAGGAAAGAAGUGAGUCUAUGAAUAUUUUACCUAGAAUAUCAUCAUAAAUUAGAUUAGCAAGUGAGCCAGACCUUGACAGCAUUAGCAAAUUACAACAGGAAAAUGCACUGGUAUUUCACUGAACCCCUCAACUGAGUCUCUCUCCAUUGCAGACUUGCGCAUGUUGGUUUUCACCUGUACUGUUACUGAACAAUAGGUUGCAUUCAUUGCAGGGAGAACCUGUCAUCGUUGUGUUUGCAUGGUUUUGGGUUUGUUUUUUUUUCUUCUUCUUCUUCUUGGUGUGUAGCCCAUGUUGGGAACACGAUACAGGUUCUCCUAUCAUAUUCUGUGACAUGAUUUCCCUUGUGGAAAUUUAAGACUUGGAGGUCUCGAGUAUUCUAAUGGUGUCUGCACUUGCAGUGUAAUAUGGAUUGUGGAAUCCAGCUGUUCAUCAGUGCUCCUAACCAGAGGCUGAUUCAUGACAGUUCAUCAACUGAGGCUUCUGUAGAUCAAGUUAAGGUCAACGCUUUGCUCACAGAUCACAACAUUCAUUAUGGAAGUAGUUUAUAUCUACAGGUAGUCAGACUGCAUUUCUUUAGUGAAUGUGAAGGCCACAUUUACGAUGGGCAAAAAGAUCAUCAGAUCCCAAUUGUGCCUAAGAUUGUGAUUUCAUAAAACUUAUUCUUAUAUUUUGUGGGUUUUGGCUACUUCUACCCCCCAAGUACUAUGGCAGGCAAAAUAUGGUUGAAAGACUUUUAAUAAUAAAUAAAGGUAAAUCUUCUGCUUUGGCUUGAAAAUAGCAGUUUAAAAAUGGAAGAGUUGCCUCGAUUCUCAGUAUUUAUUUUGCACACUAAAACCUUAAAUAUUCAUUACUGUGAAUAAAACAAAAUUAUUUUUACUGUAUAGCCCAUUUCUUUAAAUAAUACAACUGUGGCAUUAUAUAAAAAAUUUAAUUCUGCUCCAUAACAAACAAGCAAGGCUUCUUAUGCUGCUAAACCUGCAGGUGCAGAAAGAAACCUCUGGAAGGGGCAUGGCCUCUGCAGUGCUAUUUCUCACACACAUCUUUUUUUCCAAUUAUAUAUUCAGAAGAGGCUGCCACCAUGAUACCUAAAUGCAGGAUUAAUGGAGAACAGUUUUUCCAGCACAACAGUGGUGCAGGUCAACAAGCCAUCCUCAGGGCAGCCUGUGAUUUGGGGCAUGCUCAAACUAGAACUCUCCUGCCCCACCUUAGGGAGAGAAAAUCUGCUUUCUUUCUGGUCAGAAAAAAAAAAAAAACCCAUAAAAUAAAUCAACAAACAAACAAACAAAUUAGCCAUUUGGUAGUCCCCAUGUUCUAUUUCCAUGUAGAAUGGUGUGCCUUAUUGUAAGUCAGUUUGGGUUUUUGUCUACUCCAUAUACAAACUUUGAAUUCUUACUAGGAAAGAUAACUACCUUGUGUUGAAUGAUAAAACUAUCAAGACCAUGUAAUUUUAAUAACAAUAUAGGUAGCCUGGCUGUAAUAUUGUGAUUAAGACUCUCUAUCCCUAAAAAAAAAAAAAACUAUAGAUCAAAUUCAGAGGCAAAAAUAAUAUCUUAUAAUCAUACAGUUUAUGCACAAAAUAUAGAUAACCGUCUCUAAUUUUUUUUCCUUCGUCUCUGGUGAGCUGAGAUUAAAAAUUGUGUCAGUCGCAUGUUCCACUAUGAAGUUGUCUUCGUACAGCACAUUUAUGACGAGCCUAUAUUCUCAGUGAAUAUGGCAUUUAGUAUUUCUUUUCAAACCAAACUUAAGCAUCAUGAGCCAAAGUUGCAUUUUGACUCCCCACUAUGGUAGCAUUAUGGAAAUCUCACAGUCGAAGUCAAGGGUUUCUGUUAUGUAUUAGUAAAGUAUAGAUUAUUGGGGCCUACAUAAUUUAAAGAAAUGUAAAUUAAUAUUAAAAGCUUGUAAAAAUAUGUACAUCUUUACUAUUUCUCAAUAAAUACCCUUUGCAAAUGUUUUCAUUUUCUUCACCCUCCCAUUUUGUAGAGUUUUUA
rnacentral:lncRNA from 1 species